UGACAUAUCUGGUGAAUCUCAUCAUCAACAAGUGAAAUCAUGUGUGAAAGGUCAGAUCUUGUAACAUCGAUACAUGAAACACUGUGAAUUUUCUCUAAUUCAAACGGUAAGGCGAAAUGGUAAACUACUGGCUCAAUUCUCUCAAUGAUCUUAUACGGCCUGACGAAUCAUGGACUAUGCUUUCCUUUUCAGCCAAAACAAAGAACUUUUCUCCAAUGCGGUACUUUUAAGAACACUCUGUCACCAACUUGAAAUUAAUGUCUUUUUGUUUUCAAAUUCGUAUAUGAUUUCUAACAAUCAGAAGCAGCUUUCGAAAAAUAACGAAUUACUUUGACUUUUUCUUUAAUUUCUUGAAUCAAAUAAACACCGAAUAGCUUUUCUCACUCAAUUCAGCCCAAUAUAAUGGAGUUCUACAUUUUCGACUAUACAAAGCUUCAUACGGCACCAUUUUUAUACUCACAUUAUAACUAUUAUUAUAGGCAAGUUCAACCAACGGAAGAAAUUUCUCCCAUCUACCCUUAAACUCUAAAAUACAACAACGGAGCUUAUCUUUAAGUACCUAAAUUACUCACUCAGACUAUCCAUCGGUCCAUGGAUGGAAUGUUGUACUGAAAUGUAGUCGAGUACCUUGAGCUUCGUGUGAUUUACUCUAAAAUCGAUAAGUGAAUCAUGGGUCUCUAUCGGAGAUAAUAAACACUGGCACACUAUGCAGUCUAACAAUCUCAGAAAUGUAUAGUUUUGCCAACUUCUCAAGUGAAUAAUCCGUAUGUACUGGAAUGAAAUGUGUAGAUUUAGUCAACCGAUCAACAAUAACCAAAAUAACAUCUUUCUUUCGUGGAGACAAAGGUAACCUUGAUGCUCGACUUUGACUUGCUGACAAAUCAAAAAUUUCGAGACAAACUCUAAAAUCUCUUGUUUCAUACUUGGCCACUAGUACAUUUGUUUCAAAUCACCGUACAUUUUGUUACUACCAGAGUGUAUCGAAAAAUUAUUGUUGUGAGCUUCAUGUAAAAUCUUUUGUAUAAUAUCAGAAUUUCUCAAAACUCAUAUUCUGUUUCGAAAAUACAAACUACCAUCAGGACGAACAUGAAAUUUUGAAUCAGGUAUCAUUUCAAUCUGCUCCCAUUUAGCAAUCAACUCAGAGUCAUUUUUCUAAGCUUCACAAAUCUGUUACAGAAAUGUCGGUCUAGCUUCUAAUUCCGCAACAAUGUAACCAUCAUCAAUCAAUGUCAAACGAGUAUUCAAAGCUUGCAAAGCAAAGAAAGAUUUUCUACUUAAAGUAUCAGCAACAACAUUAGCUUUUCCUGGAUGAUAAUCGAUGAUCAAAUCAUAAUCUUUUAGCAACUCUAACCAUCUACAUUGUCUCAAAUUUAAUUCUUUUUGUGACAUCAAAUACUUCAAACUUUUAUGAUUCGUGAAGAUGUGACAUUUUUCUCUGAAUAAAUAGUGUCGCUAGAUCUUUAAUGCAAACAUGAUAGCUGGAAGCUCUAAAUCAAUUAACGGGAAGCAUAAGCUACCACUUUGCCUUCUUGCAUCAAAACAUGGCCUAAACUAUUCAGUGAAACUUCACUAUAGAUCACAAAUUCCUUGCCGGACUCUGGCUGAAUCAACAUAGGGGCUUUGAUCAAUAAUACUUUCAACUGCUCAAAUCUUUGCUGACACUUUUCGAACCAUUCAAACUUGACAUCUUUUUAAAGUACUUCGUCAACGGUGUAGAAAUCAUGGAAAACCCUUUUACAAAUCUUCGAUAAUAUUCGGCUAGACCCAAGAAACUUCUGAUCUCUGAAACAUUUCUUAAAGCUUCCAAUCUACUAUAGCUAAUAUUUUACUCGGAUCCACUCUAAUAUCAUUAGCCGAUACCACAUGUCCCAAAAAUCCAACUUCUCGAAGCCAGAAUCACACUUGCUAAAUUUAGCAAAUAACUAUUUCUUGCACAAAGUCUGCAAAAUUAUUCUCAAAUGUUGUGCAUGCUUAAUUUCAUCUCAGGAAUAGAUCAAAAUAUUAUUAAUGAAUACAACCAAAAAUAUGUCUAGAUACGACCUGAAUAUUAUGUUCAUCAAAUCCAUAAAUACAGUAGGUGUAUUGAUUAAACCAAAUGACAAAACUAACAAUUCAUAAUGUCCAUACUUGGUUCUAAAAGUAGUCUUCGGCACGUCAGAAUCUUUAACCUGUAACUGAUAUAUCCAAAACGGAGAUCAAUCUUUGAAAAUACUGGCGAGCCUUUCAGUUGAUCAAACAAAUCAUCGGUACAUGGCAAAUGAUAUUUGUUUUUGAUCAUGACUUUAUUAAACUAUCGAUAGUCGAUACACAAUCGCAUCGAUUCGUCAUUUUUCUUAACAAACAGUAUAAGAGCAUCUUAGGGAGAAAAACUAGUCCAAACAAAUCCUCUGUCCUUCAAUUCUUGCAACUGUGCUUUCAACUCUUUCAACUUUGUGGGUGCCAUUCUAUACGGAGCUAUAGAUAGCAGAGAAGUUCUCGGUACUAACUCAAUAACAAAUUCAACCCCUCUGACUGGCGGUAACCCUAGUAACUCUUCUAGAAAUACAUCUGAGAACUCAAAAAUAGUCAGAACUGACUCUAAUUCACAACUGUAACAGUCCGAUUUUAGUUAUGUCAAAAAUAGUGGUUUUGGGACCACAAUUUUGAAGAGUGAGUUUUUAUUUUAUUAUUUAUUAAAUUCCUACAGGAUUAUAUUAAGGUCGCAUUAAAAUUUUGUUAAGAAAUUUUGAUGUUUUAAUGGUUAAUUAAGUAAAAAAGAAAAAAUCGUAAAAGGUGUAAAAGUUGAAUUCUAUUAGUUAAAAUGACUAAAUGGCUUUGGAAAUUAAAAUUAAUGGACUUGAGUGGUAAAUAUAUAAUAUUUAAAGUUAGUGGAUGUGCAUGGAUAGGUUUUAUUGAUUUUUUUGAUUAAUAAUAAUGUUAAAAUAGUAAAUUGGUAAAUAAAAAAAUUAAGGAAAUAAAACACAAAGUAAAGAUGGUAUCUACAUCAUUUUUGUUUCAAAACCUAAAUUAUCCAUUGGAGAAGAAUAAACAUUUGGUCAAACUUAUUUUAAUGCAUGUAAGUGAAUUCAAGCCUCGUUUUUAAUGAUUUUUAUGUUUGAGUUCAUUUUAGCUUAAUCUAGCUAGCCCGGGGGUUAAUUUUCAAAAAUGUUAAAGGCUGCGGGACUUGCCAUGGAUGUUUUUGAAUGUAUCUUAAUGUUAUUUGAUAGAUUAUCACUUUUGGUUGUAAAAUGAACAUGUUUUGUUGAGUGAUUUUUGAUGAAAUUGCAAAUAGGGAUUAAAUUGUUAAAAAUAUAAAUCCAUGGGUUUUAUUAUGAAUUAUUGAUGAUUAUGAGAUUUUUUAAGGUCCCUUGUAACAUUGGUUAACAUUGAUUUAGGUUAAAAUGAGUUAUAUUCAAGUAAUGAGCUUAAUGACUAAAUUUUGAAAAGUUAAACUGUUAAGGGUAAAUUCAUAAUUUUGUAUAAAUAUGAACUAUGGAUUAAAUUGAAUACUAGAAGUACUUAAUUGAUUGAAAUUAUCUAUUUAGAUCAAGAUAAACCACAUUCAGACUUAAAUCGGGAAAAAACAAAAGCUUCGGAUUAGUUCGACUCUAUUAAUAUGACCCUAGUUAUCGAGGUAAAUUCGUAUGAAUUGUAAUUGUGUUAAUGUUAGUUAAAUUGACUAUCUAUUAUAUUUUGUUAGUUGUAAAUGGAUUCAAACAUACAUGUCAUUAGGGAUUUCAUGUUUCGAGUGCUGGUCUUGAAUGUCCUACCGAUAGCCGAGGUCCUGCAUUUGUUGCGGAUUCUCCACAACUUGUGUGAGUAGCAUCAUGUAGCUUACAUUCUAACCCAUAGCUCGUGUGAGCAAGCCCAUUUCAUAGCUUGUGUGAACAUUGAUGUAAAGGAAAAGUUACAGUUAUAUGGAAAGACACACUAUGUGUGAGCGUUCCUGAGUAUCCGAUGUAAUUUUAAAUAGUUCAAUGGGUAAGAAAAGGAAAUGAAAUUGUAAGCAUGCAAAUGGAAUGAAUCAUGAUCUUAUGAAAACAUUGAUAAGUUAAAUGAUGUAUUUAUAUAUGGAAAUCUAUUUAUCUUAUGGUUGAAUUCAUUUUUAUCAUGGACAAGUGUACUAACUUGUGAGUUUGAUGAUGUUGUAUAGGCUUAUACUAAGCUUAUGGCAUUGGUAAUGAUUUAUGCUUAAUCUAUGAAUUGUAUUAAUCAAAUGGUAAGUUAUGUUUAAGUUUAUACGAGCUUAUUAAGCACUCGUUGCUUAUGUAAUUACUUUCCUUUGUCUUAUAGAUUAUCGGAAGCUCGAUUGGUUGGAAGCUCGUCGGAGACCUAUCACACUAUCCAACAACCAUUUCGGUAGUUUUUGAGUAUUUCGGCCAAGGUUAAUAAUGACAUGUAUAGGAUAUUUUGUAAUGGUAUUUUAUGAAAGUGUUAAUGGUGAUUUGGUAUGUAUAUUCUUUGAAGUAUAUAUUUGGUUUGAUGAACCUUAAAACCUCACCAAGUUAUGUCAUUUUGGUGACUUUUAAGUGUUUGUAUAUAAGGUCCUUUCGGUAUGUUUGUGAUGGCAUGAAAAUGGUCAAUUGUGGUAUCAUGUGGUAGAUAAUUGAAUUAUGGUUUUUAUGCUUGAAUUAUGGUGAUGUUGACUUGUUUUGGUAAAUGAUGUUUCGAUACAAUUGUGGUGCCUUUGAAUGACAUAUUGGUUAGAUGAAUAAGGGUGUUUGAAAUGGCAUGUUUAUGUGUGUUUGAAUGAUGUUUAAAUCCCUUGAAUAUGUGUCUACAUGGUAUGAAUGGUUAGGCAUGAAUUGGACUUGAAAUAGCUUGCUUUUAGGUAAAAUUUUUGGUUCACACGGUCUGGAUCACGAGCUGUCACAAGGUUAUGUGACACACACGGCCUGGCAACAUGGCCAUGUGUCAUUUGUAAAAUUUUAAUGUUUCAAGUCAAUGAGUUACACGGCCUAGCACACGGCCGUCUGUGGCAACUUAGAAAAUUACACGGGUGAGGACACGGGUUGGGACACGGUCGUGUGCCCCUUUAUUCAAAUGUUACACAGUCUGGCCACAUGGCCGUGUGACCCUUUUUUUCAAUUUUUCCAACUUUUUCUUAAAACUUCUAUUUUGUUUCGAUUUAAUCCCAAAUUGUUUCUAAGCUAUUUUUAGGGCUUCGAAGGCUCGAUUUAGGAACAAAAUGCAUAUGCUUGAUAUGAUUUUGGAUGAGAUUAAUUUAUUUAAUGUUAUGAUGUUAAAUGAUUUUUGAUUGAUCAGUAAUGCUUCGUAACCCUAAUCUAACGACGGAGACGAGUUAGGGGUGUUACAACAACCCUUUCUGACAUAUUUCUGAGCUGACAUAGUUGAAAUAAUAUUAGCUGUACUAUCAAAUCUAUCAGAUUCAACCUGAACUAUUUCACCAUUCUGACAUUUCAAAAAAAUUUACUUUCGUCUACAAUUCACAACAACAUAAUGAAGAGUCAACCAAUCUAUACCAAGAAUCACAUCAAACUCAUCAAAUAGUAAUAGCAUUAAAUAAGUCUGAAAGUUGCAAUCCCAAUAAUCAAAGGGCAGUUUCUACAAACUUUAUCAACUAACACAUACUGACUUAAAGGAUAAAAAAUUCAAUUGACUCAAAAGGUAUUUUCUUAUCCGACACUAAAAUUGUGCAUAUAAAUUAGUGCGUUGACCCUGGGUCAAUCAAAGCAUUAACAUUAGUAUCAAAGAUAGAAAAUGUACUAGUAAUUACAUCAGGUGCUGAAGCUUCCUCACGAGCUCAAAUUGCAUAAGCCUUAGCUGGUGCUUGAGCCUCAGAUCUAACUGUAGAAUCAUUCAUUCCACUUUGACUAUUUCUCGCAUUACCAUUGUUUCUGGAUAGCCUUUCUCUUGCAGCAGUGUUAUUUGAACGGGUGUUUUGGGUUUUCUCUCUAUCAGAUCUUUCCGGACAGUCUCGAAGAAAAUGAUCAUAAGAAACACAUUUAAAACAUGAUCCAUCUUUCAAUCUGCACUCUCUGAAUUGUCGUCUGUUGCACUGUUGACAUUCAGGUCUAUUAUUUCGAACACUCGUUACAGAAGUAGCCUGAGGUCUCGAACUUGCAUGUUGCUUCCCUUUAUCUCUUCCCAAGAAUCCUACUGAAGCUAAAGUACGAUUGUGAAAUUCCUUUGAUUUCUUCUAUUAAGAUGAAAAUGAUUUUCCCAUAGGUCGUUUACCAGUGUCACGAGUUUCAAAAUCUUCCUUUCUUUUAGCUUUAGUAAGUUCUUCAGCUUUAUGUGCUUGAUCUCCCAAUACCACGAAUUAUUUCAAUUCCAAAAUUCCUAGUAACAGUUUGAUACCUUCAUUUAAACCAUCUUCAAACUGAGUACAUAUAAUAGUUUCUGUUGGUAUACACUCCCGAGCAUAUUUGCUAAGUUGCACGAAUUCUCUUUCAUAUUCUGCAACAGACCUACGACCUUACUUCAGCUCUAAAAACUCUGUUCUUUUCUUAUCAAGGUAUCUCUAACUGAUGUAUUUCUUUUUAAAUUUGGUUUGAAAGAAAUCCUAAUUAACACGAUCUUUUGGUACCACCGCUAUCAAGGUAUUCCACCACUGAUACGCUGAGUCUUUUAACAAUGAUAUCACACAUUUCAAACUAUCAGAAGGUGAGCAAGAUAGUUCAUAGAAAACUCUGAUAAUAUUCUCUAUCCAGAACUCAACCUUUCUGGAUCAUCUUCUGUAGUAUUUCGAAACUCUUUAGCCUCAUACUUACAAAUUUUAUCCACUAGAGGUCUAUUCAUUCGUACCAAUUCAAAACCUUGAAGAAUAGUGGGGACAGGUCGGGGUACGGAAGGGGGUGGAGGUCGUUAAGCUAUAGGGUUCGUUCUAACGAAUUUAGAAAACCACUUAUACAUCAUUUGAAAGAAGGCUUCUUUUGCCUCACUUCUCCAGCCCUCAGCUAUGGGUCCACUACUAGCUGAUCCAUGAAUGGAGGCUAGCACAUUACUUUCAACCUCAUCGAAAUCAGCUUGGUUGGAUGACAUCUUUUAUCUAUAUAAAAACAUAAUUCAAUUUGAGUCAGGAGAUAUCACACUAUCACAGAUUAUAUAAUGGCAUGUAUUUCUAAACUCCAUACAUGCUAUGUUUAGUCCAAGAACCGACUAAACCUUACUCUGAUACUGUAACACCCUUAACCCAUAUCCGUCGCCGAAUUAGAGUUACGAGGCAUUACCGAACAAACGCAACCAUUUUUUUUAAAACCAAACUGAUCACAAACAUAGAAAUUAAACCAUAUUCACAUGGCUAAUUAUAUUAUACAAUCCAAAUCUAACCAAAAUCAUACUCAAACCUAUACAUGCCUUAAGAUCAAGUUCAAACUGUUAACAAAAUACCAAAAGAAGUCGAUAGUGUGAUAGACUAUGCUGACGAUCCCCGAGCUCGUAACGCGUCUCUAAAAUCUAUAAACAAAUAAACAAAAACAAUCAAAGUAAGCUUCUAUAGCUCAGUAAGUUUAUAGCAUAUCCAAAAUACAUAUAAACGAUCAUUUGUAUUAUCAUUAUAUACCUAAAAAUCAAGUUAUAUACAUAAUCAUUAAUCGCAAAUAUAAAUUCCAAAUAUACUUAUCAUUGCAUUUCAUUGAAUGCAUGCUUAUGAUCUUUCAUAUACAUAUGUCAAAAGCAAAUAAUUAUACUUAUCAAUCACGUGUGCCGAAUGCACAUAUAUAUAUACCUUAAUUCACAUAUGCCGAACGCAUAGAUAUAUAUACUCACCAGACACAAAGAUUCGAGCUUUUAUAUGCUCAUCAAAAACAUAGCAACAGAUGUUCAUAUAUUAAUCCAAUACAAAUAACCAAAUCAUAUACAUAUAUAUUCAAUGUAUACAAUCACUUAAUUUAAACAGAUUCAACGGCACAUAACCUGCUAAACUUAUAGCAUGAUUCAGAUCACCGGCACGUAGCCUGCUAGGUUUAUAACCUGAUUCAAAUCACCGGCACGUAGCCUACUAGGUUUAUAACCUGAUUCAGAUCACCGGCACGUAGCCUGCUAGGUUUAUAACCUGAUUCAGAUCACCGGCACGUAGCCUGCUAGACUUAAAGUCUGAAAAAUUCACCGACAUUAAGCCUGCUAGGCGCUUAGCCUGAAAAUCUCAAUUUCACAGAUACAAGAAUGAUUUCUCGUAUAUUUUUUUAAUAGCAACACACGUUCAUAACAUUUAUAUAUAAUUCACAAUCUCAACUCUAUCCCAAGAAAAUUUGUAGUCCAUGUUCAAAUCAUACAAGUAUUUAAAAUUUAUACUUUUAAUUCAAUGCAAAUCUUAAACAUAUAUAUACAUAUACAUUCAACCAUGUAUGUCAAUAUGUAAUUCCAUACUUAAUUUCAAUACAAGAAAUUAUACCUAUACAUAUAUAUAUAUAUACAUAACUAUAUAGUCGAAUCUCACACUUAUGCAUAUAUAUAUCAUUCAUACUCAACUAAUUUUCAAUAAACUAACUGCCGAUUUUAGCUCAUCNNNNNNNNNNNNNNNNNNNNNNNNNNNNNNNNNNNNNNNNNNNNNNNNNNNNNNNNNNNNNNNNNNNNNNNNNNNNNNNNNNNNNNNNNNNNNNNNNNNNNNNNNNNNNNNNNNNNNNNNNNNNNNNNNNNNNNNNNNNNNNNNNNNNNNNNNNNNNNNNNNNNNNNNNNNNNNNNNNNNNNNNNNNNNNNNNNNNNNNNNNNNNNNNNNNNNNNNNNNNNNNNNNNNNNNNNNNNNNNNNNNNNNNNNNNNNNNNNNNNNNNNNNNNNNNNNNNNNNNNNNNNNNNNNNNNNNNNNNNNNNNNNNNNNNNNNNNNNNNNNNNNNNNNNNNNNNNNNNNNNNNNNNNNNNNNNNNNNNNNNNNNNNNNNNNUUUUAUAUAUAUAUAUAUAUAUUCUAGCAUUAUAUAUAUAUACAUGCUUAUUCGAAUAUCAACUAUACUCUUAUACAUUUCUUACCUUUAUUUCAACCCAUAAAUUUAUACAAGAUUAUACUUGUAUAUUCGAACAUGAUAUAUAUGUAAUUAUCAUCCAUACUUCAAAAUUUAUUUAAUCAAUAUACUUUUAAUUAUAUCUCAACACAAAAUACAAUUAGUAUACAUGUAUAAAUAUUAACUUAAUAACUUUUAAUUGCUAAUAGACUUACCUCGGAUAUCAGCGGACACGAUCGACUAUUCGAUUACUUUCGUUUUUCCCCGAUCCAAAUCUGUUUUCUUCGUUUCUUGAUCUAGCAUAAUCAAAUUUAACCUUUUUAAUUCAUCAAAACAUUCAAUUAAGUCCAAAAAUACAUAAAUGGGAAAAUUACCAUUUUACCCCUAACAUUUUACACUUUUUGCAAUUUAGUCCUUUUUGCACAAAACACAAAAUACACAAAUUUUGCCCACACUAAUCUAGGGCCUAAUGUUCCUUGUCUUCAUACAAUUCCACACAUUUCAUUUAUUUCACAUUUUAGUCUCUAAAAAUAUUAUUUUUNNNNNNNNNNNNNNNNNNNNNNNNNNNNNNNNNNNNNNNNNNNNNNNNNNNNNNNNNNNNNNNNNNNNNNNNNNNNNNNNNNNNNNNNNNNNNNNNNNNNNNNNNNNNNNNNNNNNNNNNNNNNNNNNNNNNNNNNNNNNNNNNNNNNNNNNNNNNNNNNNNNNNNNNNNNNNNNNNNNNNNNNNNNNNNNNNNNNNNNNNNNNNNNNNNNNNNNNNNNNNNNNNNNNNNNNNNNNNNNNNNNNNNNNNNNGAAUUUUUCCAAAGCUUUAAACCCUUAUUUUCUCUCUUAGUUUCGGUAGAAAAAGAUAAAGAACAUGUUUUAAAUUUGUUAUAUUUAACAUAUAAUAACCAUAAUAAUUAAUUUACUUAAUUAACCUUUGUUAAAAUAUAAUGUAUAACACAUAUUAUAAGGUCAUUCUUGACCAUUGCCAUCCACUCACUUAAUGGUGGACUAAUUGCUUCUUAAAUCCUCCAAAUUAUAAAGACAACAACAAAUAGACACUUUCAUAUUUAACCAUUAAAUUUUUAUUUUACGCGAUUUAAUCCUUUUAUUUAAUCGGACACUCAAACAACAAAAUUAAAACACGAAAAUUUCACACAAUCAAAUGCACACAAAAUAAACACACAAAAUAAUAUUAAAAUAUUUUUUUGACUCGGACUUGUGGUCCCGAAACCACUAUGUCCGAUUAGAGUCGAAAUUGGGCUGUUACAGAUACCACUAAAUGUAACACCUCUAACCCGUCUGUCACCGGAUUAGGGUUAUAAGAGCAUUACCGAACAAUCAAAACAACGUUUAACAUCAAAUAAUCUCUAUAAAAUCAUUUAACAUUAAUUAAAUAAACCUCAUUAAAAACCAAUCAAACAUAUGCAUUUGGGCCCUAAAUGGAGCCUUCGAGGCCCUAAAAAUAAUUUAGACACAAUUCGAGACUAAUUUGUAACAAAUCAAAACAUUUGGGAAAAAGUUACAAAAUUUGAAAAAAAUGGGUCACACGGCUGUGUGACAUAGCUCAGGCCGUGUAACAAUCGAAUAAAAGGGACACACGCCCGUGUCCUAACCUGUGUCUCAACCUGUGUAACUCACUGAGUUGGCUCACACGAUCGUGUCGCAGGCCAUGUGCUAUAUGGUGUAAGUCUCUGACUUGUGACACAUGGUCAUGUCGCAACCCAUGUCCCAGGUCGUGUGAUCCAUAUUUUGACCCUAAAAACAUGCCAUUUCAAGGCCAAAACAAACCUAAUCAACCAUCCCAUUUGUGCACACCUUCAAUAGACCUAAGAAUUGUUCAAACACUCAUACAUAUUUCAAACAUCCUAUUUCUUCUAAUUAAUAUGUCAUUCAAAUACACCACAUUUAUACCAAAACAUCAUUAAUCAAAUCAAAGCAUUAUAGCCACAUUUCAAGCACAAAACCUAGUUCCUUUAAUUACCAAAUGACAUCAAAUAUAGCCAUUCACAUACCAUCAUAGACAUACUAAAAGGAUCAUAGAUUACACAUGACUAAAAAUGGCCAAAAUGGCCUAACUUGUCAAGGCAUUAAAGUCCAUCAACCAAACAUGAACAUUAAAAGCAAACACAUAUCAAAUUGACCAUUACAUAUUUAAGAACUACCAUUACAAAAAGGUCUUAUACAUGUCAUUUAUAACCUUGGUCAAAACACUCAAAAACUACCGAAUUGGUUAUUGGUUAGUGUGAUAGAUCUCCGACAAGCUUCCAACCGAACAUGCUUCUGAUAAUCUACGAAACAAAGGAAAGUAAUUAUGUAAGCAACUAGUGCUUAGUAAGCUCGUAUAAACUCAAACAUAACUUACCAUUUCUUUAGCACAAUUAAUAGAAUAAGCAUAAUAUCAUUACAAAGACUAUAAGCUUAGUAAGUUCAUCCACGAUACAUGUGAGUUCCAUCAUAUCAUAAGUAGAUUUCAUAUACACAUCAUUUAACUCAUCAACCUUUUAAUAAGAUCAUGAACCAUUUCAAUUGUAUACAUACCAUGUCAUUUCCUUUACUUACCCAUUGAACCAUUUAAAAUCACAUUGGAUACUCAGGAAUGCUCACACAUAAUGUGUCUUUCCAUAUAACCGUAACAUUUCCUUUUCAAUAGUGCUCACACAAGCUGUGGGUCAGAAUGUUAGCUACACGAUGCUGCUCACACAAGCUGUGGAGAACCCGCAACAAAUGUAAGACCUUAGCCAUCGGUAGGACAUUCAAGACCAGCACCCGAAACAUGAAAUACCUAAUGACAUGUCAUUCAUAUCCUAAGAAUUCUUAAGGUUCAAAUGGGAUACGUUAUCCGUCAAUUACUUAAAGCAUCGAUAUACAUGUAUUUUCAAGUCAAUUUAUAACUAACACAAUAUAACCAAUAAUCAAAUCAAACUAUCAUUAAUAAGACCAUAAUCUAUAUGAACUUACCUCGAUAACUAUAGUCAUAGAAGCAGAGUUGAAAACUAAUCCGAAACUUUCGUCUUUCCCCGAUUUAAAUCUAGUUGUUGUUUAUCUUAAUCGAAAUAGAUAAUUUCAUUUAAUUAAGUACUUCAAGUAUUCAAUUCAAUCAAUAAUGCAUAUUUAUGUAAAACUAUAAAAUUACCCCUAAUAUUUUAACUUUUCAUAAUUUAGUCCUUAAGCUCAUAACUUGAAUAUUAAUCAUUUUAACCUAAAUCCAUAUUAACCAAUGCUACAAAGGACCUUGGAACAACCCAUGAUUACCAACAGUUCACAAUAAAACCCAUGGAUUUACACUUUCAACAAUUUAAUCCCUAUUUCAAAAUUCAUCAAAAAUCACUUAACAAAACAAGUUUGUUUAACAACCAAGAUUAAUAAUCUAUCAAAUAAAUUCAAAGCAUACUAAAAAAACAACCAUGGGAAGUCCAUCAACAUUUAAUAUUUUUGCAAAUUAACUGUCAGGUUAGCUAGACUAAGCUAAAACGAGCUUAAAAACAUAAAAAUAAAUAAAAACGGCCAAAAAUUACAUACCAUGCAUGUGAAAUAAGCCUUGGCCGAACCUAGCUCCUCCUUUGCUAUGUUUUUUGGUUGAAAACAAGAAAAAUAAAGGUUGAAGAUGGCUACUUUUGUUUUAUUUGAUUAGUUUAUGUUAUUUAUUUUCAUAAUUACUAAUUUGUCUUUUAAAAACUAUUAAAAUUUCAUUAAAACCUAUCCAUAAACAUCCACUAACUUGUAACAUGAUAUAUUUACUAUCUAAGUUUCUUAGAUUUCCUUUCCAUAUCCAAUUAGCCCUUUUAACUAAUAGAAACCCACUUUUGCAACCUUUACGAUUUAGUCCUUUUUACCUAAUUAACCAUUUAAACUUCAAAAUUUCUUAACGAAACUUUAAUACGACCCUAAUAUAAUUCCAUAAACUUUAAAUAAACAUUAAAAAUAUAACUCACUCAUCAGAAUUGUGGUUCUGAAACCACUACUUCCGAUACCAAUGAAAACAAGUUGUUACACAAUUGCUAAGAAAUAAGCCACGCUAGUGAAAGAGUGACAAGAUAGUGGGCAUUGCUUCACUACCAAAUAUGAAUAACAGAAAAGACACAGAACAUAAGAAUGUUGUUUUUGCAGUUCAGUUUCCUUAGGUCUGUGGAGGCUAGCUAAGUGAGAAAUACCCACCCUAUUCAACAAUAACAACAAGUGAUCCUAACCUAUCACACCCCGUGAUAAUUUUUCUCACCUUUGUACUUUGAAAACUCAAUACUUGCACCAUUAAAUUCACCCCUUGUGAGCUCAACAAGUAAAACUACAACUGCAAGGUUUUACUAUCAAAAUGCAGUCAUGCAAUAAUAUUCCUCACAAAAAUAUAUUAGGUGCUUAAUUCUCUUUAUAUAUUCACCUAUACAAGUAUAGUCUCUCGAUAUAAAAACUAUUUCGAGACUUGCUUACACAUGAAAGUCUAUCUCAGUCCUUCUAAUACAACAAUAAGAUAAGUUAGAUACAUUAUAAUACUAAUAAUUAAAGUAAAUAUGGACUCUUGGCAGCUCAGCAGAUAAAGUUUCAAUCCAAUCCAAUGUCCACGAUCCAAAGGAUUGACUUGGGUAAUCGAUCUAAUCCAAUUUCUAAUAUAUGAUUCCCCAAGUGAUAUGAUCUUCCAUAAUGGGCUAGAUAUCAUCCAAAUACUCAUCAUAGCCUAUAUAAGUCAUUCAAUAAAUUGCCAACUCUUCAAAUAUCGAAACUAUCUUUGCACAUUUUUGGUUGCCAGAGAGUGGGCACUUUCUUGGCACCAAAUUAUCAGUUUCAUAUUUUUUUAACAAUAAUGGUACAUGGUUGGCGGGUUUUGGUCAUCAUAUUAGUAUUUUCUCAAUUAUUGAAACUAAACUUUAGGGUGCACAGAAGGUCUAAUACAAGCUUGGUAGCUACGUACAACUAAUGCUAUUAUCGAAAUGGAUAGUCUUGUGGUUGUUCAUCUAGUGAAAGAUGAGCUAGCAACCUACUCCAAUACAAUGUCGAGAGACAUUAACAAUAUGAUAAAAUGGAGUUGGGAAAUCAAAGCCACGCAUGUGUAUAGGGAAAGGAACAAGGUAGCAAAUGUUAUGGCAAACCUUGCUUUAACUAGCUCAUUGGGUCACCAUCUUUUUUUGUGCAGCCUCCAAAUUGUUCAUGAUGACUGGCAAGGAGUAGCUACGCUCAAUAUGGUGUUGUUGUGGCUUACUUUUGUUUCUCUUUAUUUACCAAAUAAAUAAACAAAUGAUACUCUUGGUCCUUAUACUGUUUGUGUAUUUGAGAUUUAGUCUCUUUACUCUUUUGAUUUAACAAUUAAAGUUCAAUUGAUAAAACAAUCAAAAGACCGUGGUCUAAUUGAAUUAUGUGGCAUUUUUAAUCUUAAAAAAUUACUCAUAUCAUCAAUUUAAAAUUAUAUGAAAACUGUAAAGUAAAAGUAAAAUUUCAAUUUUCACCCAACUUCUCUUAAAUAAAGCCAGAAAAAAAAAACCUUAUAACCCUAGAUUCAAACUAGAAACCUACUUUUUUAUUUGCUUAUUGACCUUCCAUAGGUGUAAUACUAGCAGCAUGAGUAAGUAUUUUAUUUUAGAAAUACAUAUAAUCUAAUUUAACAAAAAAAAUUAAAUAGUAACAUCAAUUCAACUUCAAUUACUAAAUAAAAAAAAUAGUAAAACAACUAAAUUAGAGAAAAUAUAAAUAAAGGAAGCUAAAAAAUCAAUUAUGGUGCGAUAAAAAUGCUCAUUACUAUGAGCAACAUCCAUCAUAGAUGUCUAGGCCCAAGUCUUAUAAAUAGGCGUUUAGAGCAGUUAGAAAUAAUGUUCAACAUGAUAUUGACUAAUGCUUUAUUUAGUUAAUGAUAAAAAUUAAAAUAUUACAUUGUAAGAUUUCGAAAUUACAAAUAUGUAUGAUUGGUUAAAUGUGAAAUGGAAAAUAAAAAUACAUGAAUUUAUGAAUAUGGAGAUGCUGUUUGGAACACGUAAGGGAGAGAGAGAGAGAGGGAGCAUCACAAAAAUCUGCCAACAAAAUCAUAUUUCUUCAAACCAGCCAACUGGAAAAAGGAAAAGAUGUUUCCCCAUCUUACGUUUCUUAAUGAAACAAUAUAUGGGGUCCGUCCUCCUCCCUUCCUAACCCCAUAUGCAUACAUACCUUAUUGCAUCCAGCUGUGUCUUGUUAUACCUAGCUUGCUUGCUAUACAUAUGGACGUCAAAUUUUAUGAGCUAAAAACUGGGGAAAAGGAGUCGUUGUAUUUCAAAAUAAAUAAACUACAUUUCCUGGAUCAAUGACGUACAUGAUUAUUCAACAUGGUUAAAAACUGAAAUACAAUAUUAUUCAUCUAUAACAUAUUAUAUAUGUAGUCAUGUUCUUUUACUAGGUCCUGGCUCGUUUCUUCCUUUGCACAAAGGCUCAGGAGGUGUAUGGUGGUGGGGUUUCAGGCCAGGCAUCCAUGGCAUAUCAGAGCUGGAUCUUAAUUUCUCAACAAAUCAUAGAACUCUUGUGUUGUGUCGAUUCAGACUGGACUUUCAUUCGAGUCUUCCAUUUUCACAUCAGUUUGUUUAUCAGGCUCCCCUGUGGGUUCAUUGUUUUUAUUAUCUUCUUCCUUUGUAUCAUCAGUGUGAAUAUCCAAAACUACGGGGUGAACUUCAGAGGCACCUAAUGUGGUAAGGACGACAUUGAUGCUUUUCAUUUGUUCAGCUGGUAGCUUCUUUUCCUCUAUGUUAACCUUUUCACUGUGUCUGUAAAUGGCGUAGAGAAGCAUCUGGAGCAUCCCCAAGAUGAAGCCUAGUACAUUAGGGAGCUGUCAAAUCAAAUCACAAACAACAACAAAAAAGAAUCAAUCUAUUUGUGGCUUCAAGUGAAAGUGAAGGGCGAAAUAAUAAAUAAAUGGUGUCCCACAAUAUUGAACUUACA
rnacentral:lncRNA from 1 species